AUUAUACUCCCUUCGUCCGAAAAUACUUGUCAUAAAAAUGGACAAAAAGGGAUGUAUCUAAAACUAAAAUACAUCUAGAUACAUCCCUUUUAUCCAUUUUGAUGACAAGUAUUUCCGGACGGAGGGAGUAUAUA
rnacentral:pre_miRNA from 1 species